UAGAUAAAGAGAAAAAAAAGCCCCAAUCUUCGUUUUCAUUUUUCUUGUUACAUCUAGCGAAAAAUUCCAUUCUUCUUCUUCUCCAUCUCAGUUGAGAGAUACCGUCUUCGCGAGUGCCACCCACCCCAUCUUUGCAAGAGCCACCCACCCCAUCAAGCUUCGCGUUGCAGAUGCAGCGGAUAUCUCCACUCGAUUCGUGUUCUCUCUCUAUUCGACAUCAGUUCUCAACUACUCCGCCUCCUCGUUGAGAUUCGCUGUCGAUUCCUCUCCAACGACGCCGACACUAAUCUCAGGGAAGUUUAAACUUCUUUUAAUAUUAUUAUUUAAUUGAUUUAUCAUUUAUUACAUCUUUGUUUUUUUCUAUGUAGUUUAAUCUUGGAAGAUAUUUCUAGUAAACUAUUAAGAGGUGCAUUUGUUUUCUUGAUAUUCAGAUAUGGUUGCAAAAUUUGAGUAGAUUCUCUGUAAAAUUCAUGUGUGUUAGGACUUAGGGUUAUCUAUUAGGAAUUAGGUUGAAUUUUUGGAUCUGUUUUAAUUGAUGAGUUUUCAAAUUAUCAAAUUGUCUUUCACUUGCUUCUUGACCUAAAUUUCCAAAUUGUGUUUCUCUGCAGCAUUGUGAUUGGCUAUGAUGAAGGGACUAUUAUGGUUAAACGUGGUCGAGAAGUACCUGUUGCUAACAUGGACAACAGUGGAAAAAUUUUUUAGGGUAAGCAUAAUGAAAUUCAAACUAUCAAUAUAAAAAAUGUAGCAGCAGAUGUGGAGGUUGCUAAUGGAGAAGGGUUACCCUUGGCUGUUAAGGAGUUGGGCAUUUGUGAUCUCUACCCACAAGAUCUGUUGGGAGAAAUUAAGGAUUUUGUUGUAUGUUUUGAUGGUUUCGGAGAGAUUUUAUAGAAGAUGAGGGUCCUAUACUUGUAAAAGGAGGGAAAGAAAUUAUCCCAAAUGUGAUCAAAACUGUGCAAGUUGCCAGGCAACGUGGAAUUCUCAUAGUUUGGUGGUUGAAUAUUAUUAGAGAAGACCAAGAGGAAGCUGCUUGAACUACAGGAAGAGUUGGAAGCUGAGAAAUUGAAAAGGAAGGUGAUCGAGGAUGAAGCAAUAGCAGAGAAAAAAAAGAGACAAAAAAGAGACAGACAAUGGAAAGUGCUCUGAGAUAUCUAUUUCAACGGGAGGGUGAGGAGCUACCACCAGUCAUUGCUGCAGGGAUGAGUUCCGUGGAAUAAUAGAGUGACAAAUAGUAUAUUAGGAUAGGAAUUAUUUUGGUUUGAAGUCAACAUUUAGUUGAAUUUGACUAUGCAACUCUUUACAAGAGAUUUGUUUUAUUGAUAUUUUUAUAAAUA